rnacentral:rRNA from 1 species
UACGUAGGGUGCAAGCGUUAUCCGGAAUGAUUGGGCGUAAAGCGUCUGUAGGUGGCUUUUCAAGUCCGCCGUCAAAUCCCAGGGCUCAACCCUGGACAGGCGGUGGAAACUACCAAGCUGGAGUACGGUAGGGGCAGAGGAAUUUCCGGUGGAGGCGGUGGAAAAUGCAUUGGAGAUCGGAAAGAACACCAACGGCGAAAGCACUCGUGCGGGA